ensembl:lncRNA
AUGGCCCAAAAGAUUGUUUGGAUGUUUCAAACUGAAGAAUUUAAAAAAAAUACUUUAAAAAUGAAGAGCCCACUUUCUCUUCUUUGUGAAGCCCAUUCUUGCUUCUUUGUGGACUCCAUCCUCUUUUUUUUUUGUGGAGCCCAUUCUUGCUUCUUUGUGGAGCCCAUUCUCUCUUGUUUGUGGAUCCCAUCCUCUCUUCUUUGCAGCCUGUCCCCGUGGCAUAUGAAGUCAAACCGUUUUCAGAAUGCAACAAAUUUAGGAUGUUCCUUGAGCCACCAUUUACAAUAUUUAUGGAAAAGGAGCUGUGAAAACAAAGUGUGUGACAGCUGUUCCCACAGCUGGGCGGUUCUGAUUGCAUGUGAUGUUCCAAGAGCUCCUUCUCCUGUCUCCUCUCCCUGCAGGUUGCUGUCCCUGCAGAGCUGCUGUGGCGGGGCACUCAGGGAUGCCCUGGGACCCCGGGGUCCCCGAUGCCGUGCUGGGGGUCGCAGCUGAAGGAGAUGGUGAUGGCAAAGCGAGUGCCCCAGCUCACCCUCUCCACCCGGUGCAGGUUCUCGGAGCCCGAGGUGAAAAACGACACCCGGCCUGCAAAGACAAAAAUUUAACCCUUCAGUGGCGUUUGCCAGCAGCUCAGCUCUCCCUCCACAGCUCUGCUGUUCUCCAGUGACCUGGGAGCCCACAGGCGAUCACAGACAAACUGUGCAGCUUACACUGCACCCUGACAGCUUUUAAAUCUUUAAAACUCACAUUAACCCUUCAUGCCAUGAGCUUACACUGCACCCUGACAGCUUUUAACCCUCUCAAACAUACAUUAACCCUUCAUGCUAUGAGCUUACACUGCACCCUGACAGCUUUUAACCCUUUCAAACAUACAUUCAUCCUUCGUGCCACAAAGCUGGACAUGCAAUCCUAUCAUCACAGUGGGUAAUAAUUAGCAUUGAUUCACAGAAGGCUGAUCAAUCUCUAUUAAGAAACCCAUUGCUUUUAUGGACAGUUAUGAUACAGGUAGAAUUGAUUGGUCCUCCAAUGAAACCACCAGUAGCUAAUUAAGAAACCACCCUUUGGUACACAAAUCUCCAUAACACAUUCCACCUGUUCACAACAACAGGUGCAGCAAGUUAAGAUUAGAAUUGUUUCUCAUUCUUUUCUCUGAUCUUCUCACAGACUUACUCGGGCAAUGCCUGGGAAAGUUGUGUGUUUCUCUCUGUGGCCAGAGAGCUGCUGCCACAGAAUCCCACCAAAGCUACUUCUUUAUAAAAGGCAAGAAUGUGGCAGCCAGUCCUUAGCUGCCUCAAAAACAAAAAAGUGUAACUCUAGUGACUGCCAGCAAAUUGUACUGAUUUCCUCCCUGCUCCCCUUCUAGUCCUGGCUCUGAUUUUAGACCAAAGGAGGAGGAAGCACCACAGAGGUGGCAAAAAGCCUUCAGUGACAAAACCUCAGCAGGUUUCCAAGCAGCUGUGGCAGAUGUCAGCAUGGCACCAAGUGUUUGCUAUCACUUUCUGUGCCUGCUCUGAUCACUCCCACUCAGGCAAGUCACAGUCACAAAUUCAUUCUCCUUAGAAAGAACCACUCCAUCCAUGCAUUGGCUUGGCAUUUCUUUUACAGAUACAAGUGCUCAGUGGUGUGCCUGCCCCAAGCCUUGACCAUCACCACCCUGCCUGGGGACGCUCUGGGCCUCAGGUGGCACCAGGUGAGAUGGAAAUGCAGAGACUUUGAUGCUGACAGCAGAGCACACUACCAUUCCUCCCAGUGAGACUGCAGAAUGGAGCUCUCUGCAUUCCCACAUGAAUAAACUCUUCUGAGAAUGUACAGGUUUGAUGUUGGAUGUCCAGCAGGUAACUCUGAACUGACACAGCUCCGUGGGACUGCUCCAGGUCUCCUGAGGAAGCCAAAAUUUCACACCUGCACAGCACGAGGUUUUCCUGCUCAGGCUUUCCCCCCACUGUUCAUAUUUGAGUUUGUUUAAAAGCUGAAGCCUGCCCGAAGUCUGCACAACAUCAUGAGCUAUUCCAACCCUUACUCCACCUCCUCAGCUGAAAUAGGCACCAGGCACAUCACUGGGUUUCUCUUCUGAAAGGGACCCCAAAGAUCCAGAAGUUCCUUUGCUUGCAUCCUCCUGAGCAGCACAUGGGGGAUUUGGACAAACCUGGACUGGCUUUAUGGGGCUGGGUUUACCCACCAAUCCCUGAGUCCCUUUCAUGUUCAGCUGCAGCACACAUCUAAUUCUCAGAGUGCACUUCAGAGUCUUUCAUAACAAUUUCACCCCUUCUGUGCCUGCACCUCAAUAAUGGGUGGAUUCAGACAUGGAGAGAACAGAUCCAUUUGUGGGCACAGCUCGUUCCCACCUUGCUGUCCUGCUUUUCUGGAUGAAAAGUAAAUGAAGGCAAUGUGCUCCUGUCCCACCAGUGAUGCAAUGAACAGUGCUGCCCUCAAGGAUUCCAUACAAAACCCCUCUGUCAUGAGGUUUUUCCCCUUUUACACUGUAUUGCAACUUCAUUAAAGUACAUUAUUAUUGGUCCCUCACCUGCUUACCCAAAGCUUUGCCUUAAACUGACUUUCAAGCUGUUUUGUUUGAUCUCAGACUAGAAGUAGUAGUAAUUCAC